rnacentral:tRNA from 1 species
GGGGAUUUAGCUCAGUGGUAGAGCGCUUGCCUAACAAGCGCAAGGUUCAGUCCUCA